GGUGAAGCGCUGCCGUUGGAUCGCGCUGCAGUGAUGGGAUCAGGUCGGAUGCAUCGCGGACCGUCCGAUCAAGGCGCUGGAAGAUUUCGUCCAUUGGAUCGCGCUGUAGAAGGAUCCCGUGUUGUCCUAGUGUUUAUUGAUUCUUGCAAUUGCCUUGAUUACAGUUGGAUCUUGACCGGCUGCGAUGGUGGCCGUCCGAUGGCGCAAAAAUAUG
rnacentral:lncRNA from 1 species